AGUAGAAUGAAUUUAUGUUAUGUUAUGCUAACAUGUCUGUGUCCUUUUUGAAUGGUGUCAGAUGGAAACAGAGCUAAUGCAAUGGAGAGCUGGGGUGAUGGUAGCCGCUGCCUGAAACUGAAGGGUCAGAUGAGAUACAUGCAUCUUCCUGGGUACUCCAGUGUAAGACACAAACACACACAUUUAUACAGUGUGGGUGUAAUUUCUGUUCAUUCAAGAAUUUUUGUGUAUGUAAAAUAAUGACAGUGCUUAAAAUCAGGUGCUGUUUGUAUGUAUGUGUGUCUGUGGUGUCUUUGCAGCAUGGUGAGUUUAAGUGCCAUGUUUAAGACAGGUCUGUACAUCAUUGACCUGAGCAUGGAUGACUCGAGCAGAGAUCUGGUGCUUGCAGGAACUCAUAAAGAGCUCAAGAGAGCCCACAUACAGGUGUUUCCUGAUGUGACCAUCCUGUUCAGCGAUGUGGUGGGCUUCACUCCCAUUUGCAGUCAUAUCACAGCCAUGCAGGUGGUCUCCAUGCUCAACACCAUGUACACGCUCAGUGAGAAACACUGAAGGAAAUGCACAUACAGCUGAGCAGCGCUACUUAUGAGCACCUGAAAGGAAGUCACUUUAUCUUCGAGAGACACGGUACCAUCACCAUCAAG
rnacentral:lncRNA from 1 species